UGGACCAACAAUGAGAGUUUUCAUGAACUCGGGAUUAUGUUUAAUUUAAUUCUAUGCACUUGAGAUUCAAA
rnacentral:snoRNA from 1 species